rnacentral:rRNA from 1 species
AGAGUUUGAUCCUGGCUCAGAACGAACGCUGGCGGCGUGGAUAAGACAUGCAAGUCGAGCGAGAUUUUUUUCUGUAGCAAUACAGGGAAAAAUCUAGCGGCGAACGGGUGCGUAACACGUGGGCAAUCUGCCGAGAAGUGGGGGAUAGCUCGCCGAAAGGCGAAUUAAUACCGCAUGUGAUUAGAGUGGACAUCCAUUCAAAAUCAAAGUCGGGGCAACCUGACGCUUCUUGAGGAGCCCGCGGCCUAUCAGCUAGUUGGUGAGGUAACGGCCCACCAAGGCUUAGACGGGUAGCUGGUCUGAGAGGACGACCAGCCACACUGGGACUGAGACACGGCCCAGACACCUACGGGUGGCAGCAGUCGAGAAUUUUUCUCAAUGGGGGAAACCCUGAAGGAGCGACGCCGCGUGGAGGAUGAAGGUCUUCGGGUUGUAAACUCCUGUCAUUUGGGAACAAUGCGUAAAUAUUAACUGUAUUUGCGUUGAUAGUACCAGAAGAGGAAGGGACGGCUAACUCUGUGCCAGCAGCCGCGGUAAUACAGAGGUCUCAAGCGUUGUUCGGAUUCAUUGGGCGUAAAGGGUGCGUAGGCGGCGCGGUAAGUCGGGUGUGAAAUCUCGGGGCUUAACUCCGAAACUGCAUUCGAUACUGCCGUGCUUGAGGACUGGAGAGGAGACUGGAAUUUACGGUGUAGCGGUGAAAUGCGUAGAUAUCGUAAGGAAGACCAGUGGCGAAGGCGGGUCUCUGGACAGUUCCUGACGCUGAGGCACGAAGGCCAGGGGAGCAAACGGGAUUAGAUACCCUAGUAGUCC